rnacentral:tRNA from 1 species
GAAAAUGUGCCCGAAAGACAGGGAUCUCCUUGAUAGGGAGAACUAUAUGGGUUCAAACCCCAUCAUUUUUU